AGAGUUUGAUCAUGGCUCAGGAUGAACGCUGGCGGCGUGCUUAACACAUGCAAGUCGAACGAACCUUCGGGUUAGUGGCGGACGGGUGAGUAACGCGUGAGAAUCCGCCCUCAGGAGGGGGACAACAGCUGGAAACGGCUGCUAAUACCCCAUAUGCCGCGAGGUGAAAUGAAUUUCGCCUGAGGAUGAGCUCGCGUCUGAUUAGCUAGUUGGUGUAGGUAAUGGCUCACCAAGGCAUCGAUCAGUAGCUGGUCUGAGGGGAUGAUCAGCCACACUGGGACUGANACACGGCCCAGACUCCUACGGGAGGCAGCAGUGGGGAAUUUUCCGCAAUGGGCGAAAGCCUGACGGAGCAACGCCGCGUGAGGGAUGAAGGCCUCUGGGCUGUAAACCUCUUUUAUCAAGGAAGAAGAUCUGACGGUACUUGAUGAAUAAGCCACGGCUAAUUCCGUGCCAGCAGCCGCGGUAAUACGGGAGUGGCAAGCGUUAUCCGGAAUUAUUGGGCGUAAAGCGUCCGCAGGCGGCCCUUCAAGUCUGCUGUUAAAAAGUGGAGCUUAACUCCAUCAUGGCAGUGGAAACUGUUGGGCUUGAGUGUGGUAGGGGCAGAGGGAAUUCCCGGUGUAGCGGUGAAAUGCGUAGAUAUCGGGAAGAACACCAGUGGCGAAGGCGCUCUGCUGGGCCAUCACUGACGCUCAUGGACGAAAGCCAGGGGAGCGAAAGGGAUUAGAUACCCCUGUAGUCCUGGCCGUAAACGAUGAACACUAGGUGUCGGGGGAAUCGACCCCCUC
rnacentral:rRNA from 1 species